GCUUGUCUCAAAGAUUAAGCCAUGCAUGUCUAAGUAUAAGCACCCUUAUACUGCGAAACUGCGUACAGCUCAUUAUAUCAGCAAUUAUUUAUUUGAAGGUCACCUAUUACAUGGAUAACCGUGGUAAUUCUAGAGCUAAUACAUGCGUAAAGGGUGCUGAAAGGCAUCUGUGUUUAUUAGAUACAACCAACCCCUCGCGGGUUUAGGUGAUUCAUAAUAACCGAACGAACCGCGUUCAGCGGUGAUUCUUUCUACAUUAUUCCCUAUCAGCUUUCGUUUUUUGUGUAGUGGACAAAAAAGGCUUUGACGGGUAACGGAGAAUUAGGGUUCGAUUCCGGAGAGGGAGCCUGAGAGAUGGCUACCACAUCCAAGGAAGGCAGCAGG
rnacentral:rRNA from 1 species